rnacentral:tRNA from 1 species
GGCAGUAAAGAGUAAAGAUUAAGCAUAAUGAUUACAAAUCAGAGAUUCUAGGUUCAAAUCCUGGUUCUGCCA